rnacentral:rRNA from 1 species
UGGUGGAGUGAUUUGUCUGGUUAAUUCCGUUAACGAACGAGACCUCCGCCUACUAAAUAGUAAACUAAGGUUCAAAUAAGUGAAGGGGUGGUCGGUGGUCGGGAUCUCGGUUCCGGCUCCGGUCGCUCUGGAUCUAUGAAAUUCUCGGCUAGCUUCUUAGAGGGACUGCCCACGGUAAGUGGGAGGAAGUUGGAGGCAAUAACA